AUACGGAGGGUGCAAGCGUUAUCCGGAAUUACUGGGUUUAAAGGGUGCGUAGGCGGUUUAAUAAGUCAGAAGUGAAAAGUCCGGGCUCAACCGGGGCCUUGCUUUUGAUACUGUUAGACUUGAAUUAGGCUGAGGUUAGCGGAAUGUGACAUGUAGCGGUGAAAUGCAUAGAUAUGCCAUAGAACACCAAUUGCGAAGGCAGCUAACUAGACCUUAAUUGACGCUGAGGCACGAAAGCGUGGGGAGCGAACAGGAUUAGAAACCCCAGUAGUCCC
rnacentral:rRNA from 1 species